rnacentral:tRNA from 1 species
UCCAUUGUGGUGGAAAAGGUAGACACGUUGGACUUAAAAUCUGAUGGAAUAGCCGUAUGAGUUCAAAUCUCAUCAGUGGAA